AGGACGAACGCUGGCGGCGUGCUUAACACAUGCAAGUCGAGCGGUAAGGCCUUUCGGGGUACACGAGCGGCGAACGGGUGAGUAACACGUGGGUGAUCUGCCCUGCACUUCGGGAUAAGCCUGGGAAACUGGGUCUAAUACCGGAUAUGACCUGCUCUCGCAGUGGGGGUGGGUGGAAAGAUUUAUCGGUGCAGGAUGGGCCCGCGGCCUAUCAGCUUGUUGGUGGGGUAAUGGCCUACCAAGGCGACGACGGGUAGCCGACCUGAGAGGGUGACCGGCCACGACUGGGACUGAGACACGGCCCAGACUCCUACGGGAGGCAGCAGUGGGAAUAUGCACAAUGGGCGAAAGCCUGAUGCAGCGACGCCGCGUGAGGAGUGAAGGCCGUUCGGGUUGUAAACCGUUCGUUUCCAGCGAGGACGAAGACGCGAAGUGACGGUACCUAGCAGAAGAAGACCACGGCAACUACGUGCCAGCAGCCGC
rnacentral:rRNA from 1 species